UAGGUGUCAUGGUUUCUUUGCCUUUUUCUCCCUGUAAACUGAGUCACAGGGACUUAAGGAUUAAUGUCCACCUGGGCAUGCGUACAGCCCCUAUGGGAAACAAGGCCCGUGGGGAUGUUACUCCCUGGAGCCCUUAAGCCACAAAUGUUCAUCAGUGGCCACAUCAAAGAAGGCAUCCAAGCCCAUGCUCCUCCACUGACUACCUGAGUUAUUCUUCUGCCUCACCUCUUGGGUCACGCUUAACUGAAGAAACUCAGCGAGCUUGUCCAAGGGGCCUGAUUGAUGACAUAUCACUCUGAGAGGCAGAGGUCAAUUCUCCAGGGCCCAGGACCUGUUCCCUAGUUACCCAAAGCCCCUGCUGCACAAACACCUCUCUGGGCCCUUUCUUUUUCUUGCUUUUUACCACCUCCCCAGGCUGUGCCUGGGAAGAAAAAUGCAGGCUCCCUUUCCUAGGGUUCUACAAAUGCCCAUGGACUCAGGAUUUUCCUGCUUUGGUGACCCCCUUCCCCCGCAUCAGAAGAGCAUUCAGAAGAAGCUUUCCUCUGUCUCAUGAGAGCUUCCAAAUCUCGUAUUCAUGCUCUGAGUUUUUCUUGUCAUUGUUGUUCCUUUUAAGGACACAACUCUCAAAAGAGAAAGUCGGGAGAGGGUCCUUUGUUUUCUCUUCUGCUGUUCAAAUGCCUAUCACUCAAGCAAAGGCUCCACACAGGCUCAUUUGAAGGGUAGAAGGGCCAUGGGAUGCGGUAUCAGGAAGGUGAAAGGACUGCCAGCUACAGUUUUGGAGCCGGGUCACAGCACUGCACCCACCGGACCCCAGGUCCCGGUUUCCCCCAGCAGGCUGGGAGGUGGCAGCCUGGAGGACAUCUUUCUAAGAGGAGGUCUGGGAGGCAGCCCCGUGGCCGUUCUUCUACCCAGUCCUGUGGUCCAUGCUCCUGCCCCUCUGCAUGCAAACACACCCAGGGGGCUUCCUGAGUCCUGGCCCUUUUCCCCCAGAGCCCAGAACAAGGGAAUCCAUGCACGAAGAAGCAAGUUUUCCUAUCUCACCUUUCACCCUCACUGUGGGGCUGGAGGUGUAGUCCUCGAAGGGAUAUAGUCUGGAGAGAAACGAACGCUCUAAUAUUAAUGUAAAUGUGAUUCAUGCACCCCCGCAGGCAGGCUCCUUUUAUUUGCCUAAUUCGGAAACACAGGCCGGAGGUUCUUACUUAUCUGCCAUCCCAGAAAGGGACCCUGAGGGGGGCUUGGUACCGCUCCAGCAUCUUAAGUAGAAACCACAGCCUUGAGAUGGUGCCAAGGCGGCCAAUUAAGAAGGUGUUGACGACACUUCCCAGGAACAUUUUUCUAGAUGUUUAACUUUGACCGAAAGUUGAAGCUUCUAAUAAACCCCAGGAACUUCACAUUUUCCAGGGAAGAGUGCCUGGGCUCUUAAAAACUUCCAAGAAACUCGGAUUCUCAGAAGACUUUGCAGACUUCAAGCUCACCCGCCCAUUCAAGAGCUUUCUGGACAGAAACGGAGGGAAAGAAAACUGUGCUUUCUUGCAUGCCCUGAGAGGUUUACAUAACUAAAGUCAGAUAAGAAGCCUGGCGCCAAUUAGGCCACCGCCUUGGCUUUGGGAAGGGAGGCCCUGCCCCGCCUCCCGGCCCUUGGCCGCUGGGUAUGACAGGGUUGGCAGUGUCAGGCAGCAGCAGUGUCAGCCCAAGGGGCUGGGGUUGGUGCUGGCCAGGCUGGCUCCCUCCAACCGGAAUCUCCUCCUUGCCCAGCUUUAUUCAGCACUAGCUGUGGCCAUCUGCAUGUAUGUGCCCAUCAGCCCAGCAGUCUCACUGGAAGCUCUGUACGGUGGGCUUCUAGCUCCAUCGUAGAGAAAAGUAAAGCUCACAGGCGCACAGAGGUUCGCAAACCAGGGAGGAGAGUUGAACCUGGGUGCUGACCCACACUUGGGAAUUCCCAGGACUCAGUGAGAGCAAGCGGAGGUCUUGGCCAGGCGGGGAGGGUCCUGCUGCUCGCGGCCUCAGGCCUCCCACUGCCGGUCCUGUGGUGACGUGGAACGUGCACGAGGAGGGCCAGGUUGAGUGGGCGCAGGGGGAGGAGGCCUGUGGGGGUUUGGUGGGAGCAGCUUUUUAUCAAGCUGCACAGAAGUGUGUGAAUAAUGUUACCACUGGUGCAGCCAACAUGCUGUGUAUCAGCAGAUCGGAACCCGAGUCAUAAACACGUUCGUUGAGCUGGAAAGAAAGCAGCGGGAUAGAGGCGGGCGGGACCAGCUCUCUGGGCGGGGAGUGGAAGCAUCAAUAAGAUGGUCCAUGAGCCCACUGGCACCGUGGUGAAGGGAAGGGCGUUACGGGGAGACUGGAGGGCAACAAGCCACAGGUGCAAACUGCAUGCUGUGGCCCACGGAGGAGCGGGGUCUGGGGUGGGGAGGGAGCAGGGAGGACCCUGGUGAGACCUGAGACUGGAGGGACGCAGAGACCUGGCCCACGCCAUCCUGCCUGGGGAAUUUUGAUCCAACAUUUUUUAUGCUUUGGGCAGGUGGACAUUGCGGGUUGUUUCUUGGCGCUAAAGCACAAGUGAUUAAACUUUCCCCGAAAAUCUUCCUUUAGUAUUCUCUGUGACAGGUCGCCUCGUCACUCACGAUCCCCACUGCGUCUUUGGUGCCUCGUAUGCUCCCUGAGACGCAGAGCCCUGCUCAUCCCUUUUCACUGGCCCGUCUCACCGCUUCACUUCACCUCCCAACACCCUGGCGGGAACUGGAUCCCCUUUGAAAGCCCCGGACUACUUAGAAGACUGUUGUGCUUGUCCCUAGUCGGAGGUCCCCAGCAAAAGCUGGCAGGUCAGGCAGGUGAUGCAGAUGAGCGAAGGAGACCCCUCAAGACAACCCAGGCCGUGUACCCUUCCACCUGCAGACAAAGACGACGCAGUAAACCCUGGUCCCCAAGCCACCCUCCAUCUGUCAAUAUCAUCAGGAAUCUCUGAGACAACUCAGAGAAUCGUUCAGCUGCUCCUAGUUUCCCUUUUCCUCUCUCCAGCUUCAUCCCUGUUUGGGUUGGGUAAAAACGAGCAAUUACAGCAUUUAUGAGUCAACCAUUCCUGAUUGCCGUACAGCACAGUAAGGCUGAGUGUGCACCCUUGGGAUAGUCAUUUUAUGUGUCAGCGUGACGGAUCCGGGGAUGCCCAGAGGUCUGGUUAAUUCUGGGUGUGUCUGUCUGGGUGUUCCCAGAAGAGAUUCGCAUUUGAAUCCGUGGGGUGAGUGAAGGGGAUUGCCCUCCCCAGAGCGGGCCUGUACUGUGCAAUCCACCGAGGGUCUGAAUAGAACAAAAGAUGGAGGAAGGGAAGAUUGCCUCUCUCUGCUCGACCUCUGAGCUGGCAAGGGCUCUUCUCCUGCCCCGAUGGCGUCUGGUUCUCAGGCCUUCAGACUAGAACUGGAAUCUACACCGUUGACACCAGCUCACAGCCUUCCAACUACACCAUCAGCUUCCCUGUGUCUCCAGCCUGCAGAUGGCAGAUUAUAGCACUUCUCAGCCUCUGUAAGCUGAGAUUCCUUUUCAGCCAAUUCUUUAUAAAAUAUCACAUAUAUCUGUGACAUAUGUA